GGGUUGUGAGGUUAAGCGACUAAGCGUACACGGUGGAUGCCCUGGCAGUCAGAGGCGAUGAAGGACGUGCUAAUCUGCGAUAAGCGUCGGUAAGGUGAUAUGAACCGUUAUAACCGGCGAUUUCCGAAUGGGGAAACCCAGUGUGUUUCGACACACUAUCAUUAACUGAAUCCAUAGGUUAAUGAGGCGAACCGGGGGAACUGAAACAUCUAAGUACCCCGAGGAAAAGAAAUCAACCGAGAUUCCCCCAGUAGCGGCGAGCGAACGGGGAGCAGCCCAGAGCCUGAAUCAGUAUGUGUGUUAGUGGAAGCGUCUGGAAAGGCGCGCGAUACAGGGUGACAGCCCCGUACACAAAAAUGCACAUGCUGUGAGCUCGAUGAGUAGGGCGGGACACGUGGUAUCCUGUCUGAAUAUGGGGGGACCAUCCUCCAAGGCUAAAUACUCCUGACUGACCGAUAGUGAACCAGUACCGUGAGGGAAAGGCGAAAAGAACCCCGGCGAGGGGAGUGAAAAAGAACCUGAAACCGUGUACGUACAAGCAGUGGGAGCACGCUUAGGCGUGUGACUGCGUACCUUUUGUAUAAUGGGUCAGCGACUUAUAUUCUGUAGCAAGGUUAACCGAAUAGGGGAGCCGAAGGGAAACCGAGUCUUAACUGGGCGUUAAGUUGCAGGGUAUAGACCCGAAACCCGGUGAUCUAGCCAUGGGCAGGUUGAAGGUUGGGUAACACUAACUGGAGGACCGAACCGACUAAUGUUGAAAAAUUAGCGGAUGACUUGUGGCUGGGGGUGAAAGGCCAAUCAAACCGGGAGAUAGCUGGUUCUCCCCGAAAGCUAUUUAGGUAGCGCCUCGUGAAUUCAUCUCCGGGGGUAGAGCACUGUUUCGGCAAGGGGGUCAUCCCGACUUACCAACCCGAUGCAAACUGCGAAUACCGGAGAAUGUUAUCACGGGAGACACACGGCGGGUGCUAACGUCCGUCGUGAAGAGGGAAACAACCCAGACCGCCAGCUAAGGUCCCAAAGUCAUGGUUAAGUGGGAAACGAUGUGGGAAGGCCCAGACAGCCAGGAUGUUGGCUUAGAAGCAGCCAUCAUUUAAAGAAAGCGU
rnacentral:rRNA from 1 species